CAGAGGGGCGAAGCGUUGUUCGGAAUUACUGGGCGUAAAGGGCGCGUAGGCGGCCUUCUAAGUCAGACGUGAAAUCCCCGGGCUCAACCCGGGAACUGCGUCUGAUACUGGAAGGCUUGAAUCCGGGAGAGGGAUGUGGAAUUCCAGGUGUAGCGGUGAAAUGCGUAGAUAUCUGGAGGAACACCGGUGGCGAAGGAGGCAUCCUGGACCGGUAUUGACGCUGAGGCGCGAAAGCCAGGGGAGCAAACGGGAUUAGAUACCCCGGUAGUCCUGGCCCUAAACGAUGAAUGCUUGGUGUGGCGGGUAUCGAUCCCUGCCGUGCCGAAGCUAACACAUUAAGCAUUCCGCCUGGGGAGUACGGUCGCAAGGCUG
rnacentral:rRNA from 1 species